UACGUAGGUGGCAAGCGUUGUCCGGAUUUAUUGGGUUUAAAGGGUGCGUAGGCGGUUCUAUAAGUCAGUGGUGAAAUCCGGCAGCUCAACUGUCGAUGUGCCAUUGAUACUGCAGAACUUGAGUACAGACGAGGUAGGCGGAAUUGACGGUGUAGCGGUGAAAUGCGUAGAUAUCAGAAGGAACACCCAUGGCGAAGGCAGCUCGCUGGCCUACAACUGACGCUGAGGCGCGAAAGCGUGGGGAGCAAACAGG
rnacentral:rRNA from 1 species